GUUUUAAUAGUUUAAAUAAAACAUUGGUCUUGUAAACCAAAAUUAAGAAAACUUCUUUUAAAACUUC
rnacentral:tRNA from 1 species